rnacentral:rRNA from 1 species
UACGGGGGAGGCAAGCGUUGUUCGGAUUUACUGGGCGUAAAGGGCGCGUAGGCGGUCAGCACAAGUCAGUUGUGAAAUCUCCGGGCUUAACUCGGAAAGGUCAACUGAUACUGUGCGACUAGAGUGCAGAAGGGGCAACUGGAAUUCUCGGUGUAGCGGUGAAAUGCGUAGAUAUCUGGAGGAACACCGGUGGCGAAGGCGGCAUCCUGGACCAACACUGACGCUGAGGAGCGAAAGCCAGGGGAGCAAACGGGG